rnacentral:rRNA from 1 species
CGAACGCUGGCGGCAGGCUUAACACAUGCAAGUCGAACGCGUGUAGCAAUACACGAGUGGCGCACGGGUGAGUAACGCGUGGAUAUCUGCCUUUGGUUCGGAAUAACUCCGGGAAACUGGAGCUAAUACCGGAUGGUUCCUACGGGAUAAAGAUUUAUCGCCAAAAGAUGAGUCCGCGUACGAUUAGCUAGUUGGUGAGGUAAUGGCUCACCAAGGCGACGAUCGUUAGCUGGUCUGAGAGGACGAUCAGCCACACUGGGACUGAGACACGGCCCAGACUCCUACGGGAGGCAGCAGUGGGGAAUAUUGGACAAUGGGGGCAACCCUGAUCCAGCCAUGCCGCGUGAGUGAUGAAGGCCUUCGGGUUGUAAAGCUCUUUUGGCGGGGACGAUGAUGACGGUACCCGCAGAAUAAGCCCCGGCUAACUUCGUG